rnacentral:tRNA from 43 species
UCGGGAUAGCUCAGUUGGUAGAG